ACCGUUUCACAUCCGUGGAUUCUGGUUCAAACCCUCCUGACUGCUCGAUCGCCGUGGCACCACUCUAAUCCGAUCGUUACUGGUAGAGCUUGUUGACAAAGAAUUCCAGUCUAAAUCUUCUUUACCGCUCAUCUUUAUCUUCUAUAGAUCUUAAUCCUACGGAAGAACUUCCUCGAUAUUUCGGCUAAGCUGGUUGCUCUUGUCGAGGUUCGAUUUGGAUCUAGCGUGGAAGAGAUAAAGUAGGCCUGUUUAAAAGGUUGAGACUUUUAGUAUAGCUAUCAGCUUUGUGUUGAGUUGUAGAAGUUUGAUCUACUGGGAGAAGCUGAAAUUGGAACUUAAAUUUGGAUACAUACUUUGAGUUGGAAAUUUUAUUUUGGUAUGGAAGCAGUGGUCGUUGUUGAGCAGCAGCAUAGGAACCAAUAUUAUGGUGCUCCAUUUGGGUCAUUCCCGUCCCGAGACUUCAGAGGGGUGAACUGUAGGAGUUUCCAAUCUGGAGCUGGUAUACUCCCAACUCCCUCCAAGGCUUCUACCUCUGAAACUAAACACUUCUACCCUUCUUCUCCAAAAACACCACUAACUUGUUUAAGUUCCAACUCCGGAAAUGCUAAAUCUGGAGCUACUGUGCCAACUGCUCCAAUUCCUAUCAAACCCAAAUUUUUAAACAACAACAUUGUUCUCCAUGAAGAAUUCUAUGAUCCAAGUUUCUCGUUCUCUGAGCUUUGGGCUGGACCCACUUAUUCAAAUUCUCCGCCUCCAAGUUCGUUAUCCAUUCCCAAAUUUUCAGUUGCUAAGAGAACCACGUCUCAGGAGAUCCCUCGUUCUGCCCCUGAAUUUGAUUUGCAUCACCCAUCUGCCAAGUCUGCACCACCAUCCCCAACUCGAGACCAAAACUUUUCCCCCAGAUUUUUCUUUCAUAAUGAUGACUCUGCGACUAAGACUCUACGUCGCAUUCUUCAUCUUGAUGUUGACAAUGAAUGAACUUCAGGGAGCAUCAAGCUUCUGUAAAUAGGCUUACUUUUGAGCUGGUUGGUGUUAUGUAUAUAGAACGACUAAGUUGGUUAGUGGUGACAGUCAUGAGUAUCCUCAGUUUUCCGUGCUGUUGGACAUACUUCGAUCGCAGGAACAACCAAUAGUUAGAUGCUGCACCUUAAUCCGUGCUUAGAUGCUGAACUGGAUUUGGUUUGGCAGACAGAGACAAGAUAGGGCGCGAUAGCAACACAGAUUAAAUCAAGAUAUUCAGAAGGCAGAAGUAGGGUGUUGGUGAACUUUUUAAUCUCUGUUCUGGCCAUCAUCUCCCAACCACAUUCCAGUCUCUAUUCCAUUCUGUAAUUUGUAUCAUACUGUAGGAUCCCAAACUAAUGCUUCAUUGAAGUUCUGUAGGCUUCUAUUUCAUUCUUUUUAUCCAUUCCUUCCUUACAUCCUCGGCUUCUAUUUCAUUCUUUUCAUCCAUUCCUUCCUUACAUCCUCGGUUCUUGUUGGUUAGGUUCUUUGGCCUCAUGGGUUGGUUUUUCGACACUUCAGUCUCUCCUUUUCUUUUACUCAUACCUCCUCUAAUCAUCUUAUAGCUUUUCACUCCUUUGCCUGCGGACUGUGAGGGAGAUAUUCCUUCUUUACUGCCUUUUCAGUUUUUUUGUAAGACAAGGCGGGGUUCGGAUACUAGUUUGCUUCUUCGCAAUUACUCCAUGUAGCACUUUUCUGUUUCAGUACCUCUUGGAUUUGUCAUCUGUGUUCCUGUCUAGUAUGGAACUUUCUUAUUGGUUUUUGCAAGGUUCGUCUUCCUUCUUGAAUAUCAUUGACCACAUGGAGCGGCAUAUGAGACAAGCCAAGGAUGAACAGUUCAGGUGAUGAUUUUCAGUAGUAGUAUGGUUGGUUUCCCGUGGACGUAGUUCAUCACCAGAGAGAGGCUUCUCAGAAGCGAGUCCAGUUUAUGUUUGUGAUCCUUGUCUUGAAAUCUGUGAUCACUUAAAGUCGUACUGUUGGUGUUGGAGUUUGCUUGUUUUUUCAUAUCAGUUUGAAUGGUAAUUGCCCUCGCUUUGUGUGUUUGAAGGGCAAUGUUUAUAUUGUAAUGUUGAUGUUAUGUAAUGUUUAUGUGUGAUCUAUAAAAUACCGUACAAGCUUUCAGUUUGUUAACUA